UCGUUUCUUCUCCUACAUGUCAUUCUUGUUCUUCCUCUUCCUUCUUUGCCCUUUACUUUUGUUGCCUAUCCACUCUUUCUCACUCUUUCUUUCAUCUCUGUUUCUCUUCUGUUGUGUAUCUCUUUUGUAAUCUUUCAUUUAUUCGAUGAAGUCACUAUUAAAAAAAAAAAAAAGAGAGGAAGGAAGGAAGGGGAAGAAAGUUAAUCAAGACGAAUACGUACGACAAUUUUAUGACCUAAUCUUUACCACUUAAGUAUUGUCAAGAUAUGUUGCUCUUUUUGGGCACAUUUGGUUUAUAAGAAAAUGAUUUCUUAAAAAUUAUUUUCUUAGAAAAUAACUAAUUUCUCAUAUUUGGUUUGUGACACGAUUUGAAAAUAUUUUUACCUUUUGAAAUUAAUUUCCAUAAAAAGUAUCCAAAAUCUACAAAAUUGAAAUCUAAACCACAUAGGUAUGAUUCCAAUUUCUUUUAAAAUAAUCGGGGGUGGGGGUGUAAGUAGGGCUACCAUAGGGUCAGGGCGGCCUGAGGACCGGCAAAGCCUGAAAAUACUUUGGCCCAGCCUGAAAGUUGUUCCAAAAAAGGCCCAGCCCAUCCUGCCCUGAAAAGAAAAUCUAUAAUGCCUGAGCCUGGCUUAGUCCAAUAAGAAGCCUUUUUCUUUUUAUUUAUUUAUUUAUUUUUCUCACUCUUCAAACUUUUAUUGUUUGUAGUAAGCCAAAAAUAAAACAUAUGCUGAAACAUUUUUUACAAAAUUUAAAAUAAUAUUGAGUUUCUAGAUAAAGAGAUUGGGUUAUGAGAGAGAGAGAGAGAUUGGGAGAGAGAGAGAGAAAACAUGUUCUUAAAGAGAGAGAGAGAGAUUAAGUUUUUAGAGAGAGAACGAAAGAUUGGGUUUUUAGAAAAAGAUGGAUUUUUAGAGAGAGAAUGAGUUUUUAGAGUGACAAAGAGAGCUUGGGUUUCAAGAGAGAUUGGAUUUUUAGAGGAAAUGGGUUUUUAGAAAGAGAAAGAGAGAUUGGGUUUCUAGAGAGAGUGGGUUUUAGAGAGAGAUUGGGUUUUUAGAGAGAUAAUAGAUUUUAGAGAGAUUGGAGUUUUAGAGAAAGGAAAAGAGAUUGAGUUUCUAGAGAGAGAAUGAGGUUUUAAAAAGAGAAAGACAAUGAGUUUCUAGAUAGAGAGAGAAUGAGUUCUUAAAGAGAGAUUAGGUCUCUAGAGAGAAUGGAUUAUUAGAGAGAGAAAGAGAGAAUGAAUUUUUAGACAGACAAUGAGUUUUAUUGAGAGAGAGAUUGAAUUUCUAGAGAGAAUGAAUAUUUAGGGAGAGAAAUCGAGAUUAUAUUUCUAGAGAGAAUGGGUUCUUAAAUAGAAAAAGAGAUUGGAUUUCUAGAGAGAGAGAAUGGGUUUUUAGAGAGAGAUUGGUUUUGAGAGAGAGAAUGGGUUUUAGAGAGAAAGAGAGAUUGGGUUUUUAGAUGGAGAAUGUAUUUUUAAAAAGUGAAAGAGAGAAUGAGUUUUUAGAAAGAGAAAGAGAGAUUGAGUUUCUAGAGAGAGAUGAGUUUUUAGAUAAAGAAAACGAGAAUGUAUUUCUAGAAAGAGAAAGAGAGAUUGAGUUUUUAGAGAGAGAAUGGGUUUUUAGAGAGAUAAAGAGAGGUUAGGUUUCUAAGGAGAGAGAAAGGGUUUUAGUGAGAUAGAGAUUGAGCAUUUAGAAAGAGAAAUAGAGAUUGAGUUUCUAGCGAGAGAGAGAAUGGGUUUUAGAGAGAGCAAGAGAGAUUGAGUUUCUAGAGAAAGAAAGGGUUUUUAGAGGGAGAGGAUGAAUUUUUAAAGAGAGACAAAGAGAUUGGGUUUCUAUGGAGAGAUAAAGGAUUUUUAGAGAGAAAAAGAGAGAUUGGGUUUUUAGUGAGAGAGAAUAGGUUUUAAAUUUUCUAAAAAAUAUUGUCGCAUCUGUUUUUUUUUUUGACAAGUUUUCUAUGCAUCCCUUGCAAUAUAAAGCUUAUAUACUUCUCCUUAUCCAAUCGUCCAUUCUGAAUGGAGGGCUAAGAUUGCCCCAAUCACAAUGUCACAUCUCUACACUAUUUUAUUUUAAAUUUUUUUAUAUAAACUAUUUUUGACACCAAAUUUUGUAUUUCUUAUCCUCUAUUAAACUCGCACUAGUGAAAAAUAUAAAAAAAAUAUUUUCAAUAAAUAAAAUGACCAAAAUACCCUUUAAAUUUUCAACGGGUAUUUUGGUCAUUAUAUUUUUUCGAAAACUUAUUUUUAAUAUUUUUAUAGGUGCAUCCCAAUGAGAAGAUGGCACGUACCAAAUUUUAUAUUCAUACAAUUUGUAUAAAAAAAUUAAAAAUAAAAUACUUUGAGAUGUCGGAUUUAAUAUCAAACGAUGAGUGGCUCUCUUGAUCAAAAUUGGAUGGUUGGAUGGUAGGGGAAGCAUAGAUCUUCUAUGCUGUAGGGGAAGUAUAGAAACCUUUUUUUUUUGGCUUACUACAAACGAGAAAAAUUGGAAAAGUAGAUAUUUUAAAAAUAAAAUAAAAUAAAAUAAGAUGCUUCUAAAUAAGAUGGGCUAGGCCAGGCCUUAUUUGGUUGGGCCAAAAUAUUUCAAGGCUUACCAGGUCACUUCAGGCUGGUCCGGCAAAUAUUGGCUUUCUUGUGGACCGGGCCUGGCCCGGCCCGGAGAAUUGGCAGCCUUAGGUGUAAGUCUCGCCUCCCUUGCUCUCUCUCCACCACAGGACCCUCCACAGUUUCUCUCUCUUCUUUCCUCUCUCAUCCUCUCUCUCUCAGCCUUAGGACCCUCCCCGCUUACUCUCUCUUCUUGCGUCUUUCAUCCUCCCUCUCUCUCUUGC
rnacentral:lncRNA from 1 species